CAGUCGCCGCGGGAAUACGGAGGGAGCUAGCGUUGUUCGGAAUUACUGGGCGUAAAGCGCGCGUAGGCGGUUACUCAAGUCAGAGGUGAAAGCCCGGGGCUCAACCCCGGAACUGCCUUUGAAACUAGGUGACUAGAAUCUUGGAGAGGUCAGUGGAAUUCCGAGUGUAGAGGUGAAAUUCGUAGAUAUUCGGAAGAACACCAGUGGCGAAGGCGACUGACUGGACAAGUAUUGACGCUGAGGUGCGAAAGCGUGGGGAGCAAACAGGAUUAGAUACCCCCGUUAGUCCCUGUCUCUUAUA
rnacentral:rRNA from 1 species